CAGUCGCCACGGUAAAACGUAGGGUGCAAGCGUUAAUCGGAAUUACUGGGCGUAAAGCGUGCGCAGGCGGUUAUAUAAGACAGAUGUGAAAUCCCCGGGCUCAACCUGGGAACUGCAUUUGUGACUGUAUAGCUAGAGUACGGCAGAGGGGGAUGGAAUUCCGCGUGUAGCAGUGAAAUGCGUAGAUAUGCGGAGGAACACCGAUGGCGAAGGCAAUCCCCUGGGCCUGUACUGACGCUCAUGCACGAAAGCGUGGGGAGCAAACAGGAUUAGAUACCCCGGUAGUCCCUGUCUCUUAUAC
rnacentral:rRNA from 1 species